UCGAGGGCGGCCAGAGCCGACGCUGAGGAGGGGCAGAGAGCGAGCGAUGGCUGCUAGCACGUUGUCACCUCUCACUCUCACCUCAGCUUCCCAAAGUGCUGGUAUUACAUGCAUGAGCCACUGUACCCGGCCAUCUUCUACUAGUUUUAUAGUAUAAGAUUUUGUGUUUAAGUCUUUAAUCCAGAUGAUCAUGCCACUGUACUAUGGCCUGGGCGACACAGCAAUGUUUUUAAAAUAAAUAAACAAAAUGAAGAGGACCCUCUGAAGGAAGCAGAUUGCUCCCACAGGAUAUGGGAGACACCCCAAAUACUAGCUGGGUAUAAGUAAACAAGAAGAGGGCCUGGGAGGAGAGUCUGACGAGCAAAGGGAAGGUAGCCAAGGAUGGAGUGAAAUACAGGGUAAGUGUCUUCCUAAGCAAUAGUUACUGCUAACGUUUUUAAGUUUGUCAGUAUUGAUAGAGGGCUUGUCUGUAAUAUGGAGCUGGAAGACUCCAAUUGUUUCAGUGAUGUGUGUAGUUGGGCUUUGGAGAUGAAGAGUAAAGGAACAUCGAGAAGGUGAAAGAUUACCUAGGGGAAUUCCAGUGGGUCUUUGCCGAGAGAUACAUAAAGGAGCGGCCACAGGAAUAGUAGUUUGUGUUGUGAGAGGUCCAAAUAUGGGGGGAGUGGAGUUAAUAUAAGGAGAAACGUUUUUUAAAUAAGUGGAGAGGAGGGUGGCAGUUUGCUGAUGUGAAAUGUCUGGGGAAGUCUUGCUGGACCUGUCUAGAAAGUAAAUGAGUUCUUCAGGAGGGUAAAGGUGAGGGCUCUUAAAGGAAGUUCAGAGGUGUAAGGAGACAGGAGAUGUUGCUCAGCCUGUCUGUAAAGCGGGGACAGCUGUGUAGGCACUGGAAGAAAGGGAAAUGCAAAGCCAGCAGUUGCUCACUAAGGAGGGAUUAGAAGCGGCUAGGAGAGAAUGGGUAAGG
rnacentral:lncRNA from 1 species